rnacentral:lncRNA from 1 species
UGGCAAACCCCACGCAUCCAGUGCCGGGUGGAACCUUAGUGUGAAGAAACUGCCUUUGAAAACAAUAAGUCAGGCAGAGCUGGUGGCCUUCAAAAGGGUCCCAGGUUACACUGUUGCUGCUGGUGCUGAACACAUCCCGAGAGCCCCUGCACUACGUGGUACUGUUACUGAUGUCACCCAACUCACAAACAGAACUGGUGGAAAGAAUGCAUGUGGGUAUUUAUGAAAUAACUUAGAGUCAUAAACAUGUCCCACAGUAGGCAGUGAAUUACUCAGAGAAAUGGAUAGAAGAUGGUUUCCAUUCUGGCCUUUGCUAAUUUUUAAGGAUCUAAGAUAGAAAGACCAACUCUCAGAUGCGUUACAUUGUCUCUCCACACAAGGUGUA